UUACGGCUCAUGGACCAUUAUUCAUACGUACGUUUUACCACCGGCCGUGGGCACCGCAUGAAAGCCAAUUGGGACUCAACUAUUGACCCCAACGAGCCUUCCACUGCCGUGCGGUGCACUUUUAUUAGAAGCCGAAUCUCCUAAAUCAACCACCAAACAGCUCCCUCACUUUUCCCAUUCUCAUCCAUAAAAAACACAAAAAAGCCAAAAACCAAUCCGGAAAUCUCCAGAUUCUGUUGCCCGGCAUUAUCAUGAAAACCAAAACUCUAAAUUCCCCAAUAAAUCUACUACUACUACUACAACCCCUACCUUAUCCAUAAUUCACAAGUGUUCCUUCUCGUCACAUCCCCACCCAAACUAAUCGUCAACAGCCCCAAUUACUGCUUAACAUUGAGCACAUUAUUAAAACCGAAAAAGAAAGGGGAAAAAAAAAAAGAUUUUUCUUCUCUCUUUUCACGUCAACUUGUCCUUCAUUAUUAGGCCGGGCUUUUGUCCUUCUGUCCUCAGUUCAAUUCAACCGCAAUCAUGUCUUCUAUCUCACAGGGCCUGGUCUUGGCGACAGCAAUGGCCGUCUCAGCUGGCACCAUAAUCCUGUUUGAUCUUUGCCGUGAAAAGUAUUUCCCAUCGACAACCCAGUUGGCCCGUACCGAGAUGCCCAUCAACAAAAGCAGAAUUUGAAACCCUGCUUGUCUUCAGGUGGAAAGAAAGGGGAGAAAAACAAGAAGAAGAGUCCAGUUUGCAGCAGAUGUGAAGGAGCCAAGUAGGAACGGUGAAGACUACAGGAGGGAGCACGGUCGGAAAUCAACAAGAAUUCAGAGCGUUUCUUGCGGAAUGCCAGCAAACCGGGUGGCUUUGUACAGUGGAAUCCUUAAAGAUCGGUUACAGCGUACGGAGUUUUCUUAUUAAUGGUCAGGGAAUUCAUUUUAUCUUUUCGACUGUAAAAUUGGAAAAGUAUGAAGGGGUCUAGGUAGGGGAAGAAAUUUUGGUGUUUCCCCAGUUGGUUCAAAGUUUGUAAAUAUGGAAAACUUGUGUAGUCCUUCGAAGUCUCAAGUGUUUUCGUUUUUUGGGGAAUUUAGAAAGUUACCGCUGGCUUCCGACUGUUGAAUCUCAAAUUCUUCUUCUGAAUCAAUCUACUCUACUAACUGGUGUCCAGAUUCU